rnacentral:rRNA from 1 species
GCAAGUCGAGGGGUAACAUUGUGCUUGCACAGAUGACGACCGGCGCACGGGUGCGUAACGCGUAUAGAAUCUACCUUAUACUAGGGAAUAGCCUUUGGAAACGAAGAUUAAUGCCCUAUAGUAUGAUUACUUGGCAUCAGGUAAUCAUUAAAGGUUACGGUAUAAGAUGACUAUGCGUUCUAUUAGCUAGAUGGUAAGGUAACGGCUUACCAUGGCAACGAUAGAUAGGGGUCCUGAGAGGGAGAUC